AUUGAACGCUGGCGGCAUGCCUUACACAUGCAAGUCGAACGGCAGCACGGGAGCAAUCCUGGUGGCGAGUGGCGAACGGGUGAGUAAUAUAUCGGAACGUGCCCAGUCGUGGGGGAUAACGCAGCGAAAGCUGUGCUAAUACCGCAUACGAACUAAGGAUGAAAGCAGGGGAUCGCAAGACUUCGCGCGAUUGGAGCGGCCGAUGUCAGAUUAGGUAGUCGGUGGGGUAAAGGCCUACCAAGCCGACGAUCUGUAGCUGGUCUGAGAGGACGACCAGCCACACUGGGACUGAGACACGGCCCAGACUCCUACGGGAGGCAGCAGUGGGGAAUUUUGGACAAUGGGCGCAAGCCUGAUCCAGCAAUGCCGCGUGCAGGAUGAAGGCCUUCGGGUUGUAAACUGCUUUUGUACGGAACGAAACGGCUCUCUCUAAUACAGGGGGCUAAUGACGGUACCGUAAGAAUAAGCACCGGCUAACUACGUGCCAGCAGCCGCGGUAA
rnacentral:rRNA from 1 species